UCUCCAGGACCCCUGAGUAGACCUUACCAGGGAGGCUUAAGAGUGUGACCCCCCUGUAAUUGGAGCACACCCUCUGGUCCCCAUAUUGACUAUCCAUAUUUAUAUGGAUAGGGAAAUAAUCAGUUGAUUUGAGUCUUUAGCAUUAUGUUUGGGCCAGUAUUGAAUUUCUAUACGUGAAAGUUAAAUAUCUGGGUUUGAGCCCAUCAAAACCACAACCUUGAGGUUCUCCAUUGCUGUGUGCUGCUGCAAACAUCAGUGGAGAGUUAACCACAGUUUCUGUAUGCUCAUGUCUUGCCCAGAAGAGAGAGGAACAGAACGUAUAACGGAAAAGCUCACUACCUGGGGUAGAAUUAAGGCACACAUCAACCAGUCGCGCUCUAGCAACUUGCCAGUGGAAAAUCACCCUAAAGGGUAGGUCUACAACCCUGGUCCUACCUACCUACCAUUCUCUGAGUAAAGUUUAUUCCAAACCUCCCUUUCAGCUGUGAGAUGUUUGAGGGGUUCAGCCCCAAGUUGCCCCAUAGCAUCUCUAUAUUAGAGCCAGACAUGGUUGACACAGACAAAAAAAA